GCAGACAGAAACGGUUCUGCGCCAGGCCGUUGCUGAGCGCAUCAAGCCCAUGCUGAUGAUGAACAAGAUGGACCAGGCCCUGCUGGAGCUGCAGCUGGAACCCGAGGAGCUCUACCAGACCUUCCAGCGCAUCGUGGAAAACGUCAACGUCAUCAUCUCUACCGAUGGCGAGGGUGAGAGUGGGCCCAUGGGCAAUAUCAUGAUUGACCCCGUCCUGGGCGCUGUAGGCUUUGGUUCUGGCCUGCAUGGCUGGGCUUCACCCUGAAGCAGUUUGCGGAGAUGUACGUGGCCAAGUUUGCAGCCAAGGGCGAGGGCCAGCUGGGUGCAACUGAGCGUGCCAAGAAAGUAGAGGACAUGAUGAAGAAGCUGUGGGGAGACCAGUACUUUGAUCUGGCCUCAUGGAGCCUAUCUAUCUGGUGGAGAUCCAGUGUCCUGAGCAAGUGGUGGGUGGCAUCUAUGGUGUCCUGAACAGGAAGCGUGGCCAUAUAUCCCAGGUGGCCGGUACCCCCAUGUUUGUGGUCAAGGCAUACCUGCCUGUCAAUGAAUCCUUUGGCUUCACUGCUGAUCUGCGAUCCAACACCGGCGGCCAGGCCUUCCCCCAGUGUGAGUUUGACCACUGGCAGAUCCUGCCUGGGGAUCCUUUUGUCAACAGCAGCCGCCCCAGCCAAGUGGUAGCUGAGACCUGCAAGCACAAGGGCCUGAAAGAGGGCUGGACAACUUCCUGGACAAACUGUAGGCAGCCUGAUACUGCCACAUGUUGCACAGUGCCCGCCCAUCAGAAGACACCUUGAGACUGUCCCCACAGUGCUCCUCUGGAGGCUGUUGGGGCCACCCUGACAUCACUCAGCACUCACUUGGCUACCAAUUCUAUUUAUUUCAGAAUUACAAGGCAGCUGGAAUCUCUCUGCAGGCUGGACUGGCAGGCCGUGGGGUGGGCGGACAUGGCUCUUAACAUUUUCAGAGGGAAACACGCAGAUGUCCAAAAGUCUAAAUAAAUGCAUUCAGAGGUUUAUGAGGUCCAUGGCCAAGUGGAGCUCCCCCAGAGGGGGAGGUGGGGUAAUACCUCAAGGAAGGCAGGCAGCCUGCCUUAGACUUGCAACCCGGCUGUGCGAAUCAUUGGAGUAAUAAACUACAGUGGUUGAUCUGAA
rnacentral:lncRNA from 1 species